AAACUCCUGGCGAUAGCUGUUGUGGCAUUGCUAGAAAACUGUUACUUGUAUAACCUAUGCACGAAAAAUAAAGAAUUAAAAAAAAAUAUAUAAAAAAAAAAAAAAAACACACCUUACACGACAGGCAUUGAUGCAUAGGAUACAAUGUGUUUAUUAUUAUAAAGUUUCAGUUGGCACUCAAGUAGUGCCAUUAUUGGCUGGUCCAUGUCCCUAGCGUCCCAGGGCUCUUUUGAUGUUUUGGGUGACAUGGGACAUAUACCCCAAUUACGCCUGGCUAUAGGUAAGUCCAGGCGAUUUUUGUACAAAAUGUUUUGUUUAUUUUUUUUCUCUUCUUCUAAACUCUUUCUACCCUUCUUUCCCCUCUUGUCC